GUGGGGAAUAUUGGACAAUGGGCGCAAGCCUGAUCCAGCAAUGCCGCGUGAGUGAUGAAGGCCUUAGGGUCGUAAAGCUCUUUUACCCGGGAUGAUAAUGACAGUACCGGGAGAAUAAGCUCCGGCUAACUCCGUGCCAGCAGCCGCGGUAAUACGGAGGGAGCUAGCGUUGUUCGGAAUUACUGGGCGUAAAGCGCGCGUAGGCGGUUAUUCAAGUCAGAGGUGAAAGCCCGGGGCUCAACCCCGGAACUGCCUUUGAAACUAGAUGACUAGAAUCUUGGAGAGGUCAGUGGAAUUCCGAGUGUAGAGGUGAAAUUCGUAGAUAUUCGGAAGAACACCAGUGGCGAAGGCGACUGACUGGACAAGUAUUGACGCUGAGGUGCGAAAGCGUGGGGAGCAAACAGGAUUAGAUACCCUAGUAGUCC
rnacentral:rRNA from 1 species